GGAGAACGAGUCCCACUUGAAGAACUGUCUUGUCCAAGAGCAGAAAAUCAAUGAAUUCCUAGGAUUUGGUCCAUAAAGAUUAGUUCCCUUGCUUCCUGAGAGGACCCAGUGGAGCAGAGGCACUUUCUGGGCCACAUCACCCCCAGAGUUGGGUCCUAUUGGCCAGUGUCAAUGUUGCUGUUCAGACCCCAUGGCCUCCCAACUUUGAAAUCCCAUCAGAUCCUUGCUCAUGCUGGUUCCAGUCAGAUCCUGGGAUGCCCCUUCUCACCUCCCUACCUGCUGCAACCUCAUCCUGUCCUGCCGGAACCUCCAUCCCCGCCACCCACGGUUAUCCAUCUG